UUUCAAGUGAAGAGUUUGAUCCUGGCUCAGGACGAACGCUGGCGGCGUGCCUAACACAUGCAAGUCGAGCGGGGUUGUAUGGAGUAGCUUG
rnacentral:rRNA from 1 species